ensembl:miRNA
CUGUGAGGAAGCGAGUUGUUAUCUUUGGUUAUCUAGCUGUAUGAGUGUGUUGGUCUUCAUAAAGCUAGAUAACCGAAAGUAAAAACUCCUUCAUGAUCAUCGU